GCCCGCCUAGGCAAAUUGGCAAAGCCGUUGGUCUUAGGAACCAAAGUUUCCCGGUUCGAGUCCGGGGGUGGGUAC
rnacentral:tRNA from 1 species